rnacentral:rRNA from 1 species
UACAGAGGUGGCAAGCGUUGUUCGGAAUUACUGGGCGUAAAGGGCGCGUAGGCGGCCUUCUAAGUCAGACGUGAAAUCCCCAGGCUUAACUUGGGAACUGCGUCUGAUACUGGGAGGCUUGAGUGCGGGAGAGGGAUGUGGAAUUCCAGGUGUAGCGGUGAAAUGCGUAGAUAUCUGGAGGAACACCGGUGGCGAAGGCGGCCUGCUGGGACAGUGCUGACGCUGAGGCGCGAGAGCGUGGGGAGCAAACGGG